AUGCCAUCCGAUAACUUCAUGGCCUUUAUUUCCAUCUUAUUGGCUGCUGUUGAGUCACGAGUCUUUGAGUAUGCUCAGCGCGUGCCAUCAUGGGGCCAUGUUCUUCCCCUUUGCUCUUGGAGAAUAGACAAAGCUACCCAGCCCAGCCACAGCCUCAUAAUCUUGUUCUACCUCCCUCUCCAGCCUCAAAUAUUUCCAGGCUCCAGCUCAAGUCAUACAUCAGCCCAGCUGCCAAUGUUGCUGACCAGCAAGCCCUCAGCCUACAAGGUCUCCAUCCAGGUGCCUUUUGAUGAGGUUCCAGCUUUCAGAAAAAAAAUGACCUUGAAGGCCAGGAUGACAGGAACAAAUUCCAAAGCUAAUGGAUGACCCUUGAGUCCUCCACUGGCCAGAGAAAGGGACUCUCAGAGCCUUAAUUUAAUAGCUCCAGCUUGCAUUCACUAAAGCCUCAAGCAGCUACAACAGAUGUCUCAAGAUUUCCAAAAAGAGCUGUUGGUAAAUCUGAUCUAUCCACUGACGUAAUUAUGCUCAUUCUAGCAAAGAAAAACAUAUAUUUGUUUCAAAGAACGUCCAUCAGGGAGUGUGCAGC
rnacentral:lncRNA from 1 species